UGGUAGACGGAAGCGCUAACAGCAGGUCUCCACCACCGCCCGUCAAUCACCCCUCUGUUCAGCUUGCCCCUGGGAUGAUGCUGGGGACACACCAAAGUACCUCUAGCCCUUCCUCAGGAUGGCUUGUUCCUCAUGACUUCACCAUGAGAAAAGAAGAUGGAUUUCUCAACCACUUCCUCCUGCAGGAGGUAAACCUGGAGUGCCUUCGGGUUUCUGUGCGAGCAGGUAGUGACGGGAGCGCUGCUGGUUAAUGAGAGUCAUGGAGGGUGGCUGCCUUUCUCAGUUGGAUUUCAGGUCCAGGAGUUUGAAAAGUGACGUGAAGUAGAUCGCGCAAGCUCCUGAAACAGCCGCUAAAAGAACCGUUUGUAUUCCGCCAAUGAUCUUCAGAAAGGAGAGAUGCAGCCUCCCUUGAAAAGGCUAUCCUCUGACUUCUCCAAAGUUAGCCUGACCCCCUGGCAGAGAUGCCUGCCCACGCUGGGGAGAUGCUGGGCUGGGGUCAGCGUGGUCUUUGUCUGUUUACUGGGUCCUGGGGCACCGGGAGGGAGGCUGCAUGGAGCCUGUUAGUUUGGGGCGUGAAGUAAUAGAAAAGCACUUAGUGGAAGUACCCGUCGCUGGGCUCCUCCUUCUCGCCCCCAGACAAGCUGUGAAAGUGAAUUUGAGCUCCGUGGAGAUAGGCAAGCGAUCCUGCUGCAUAAUGAAGAUGACCCAGCAUAACUUCCUGAUGGUCCCU